rnacentral:lncRNA from 1 species
UGUAAUACAAUACUCAGAUAAGCAUUCCAACAAACACCUAACGUGAGUGACACUGUUUGUGUAGAGAUUGGAGAAAUUUCUAGAACUUAAGUCUUCUCUCUUGUCACACACAAGAUAUACAUGCCAACAUAGCAGAUGGGCUAUAAGCCCAUGAGCCUAACUACACAUAGCAUAUCUUAACACUCCCUCUCAAGAUGGACGAUAGAUAUCUUAUCAUCCCCAUCUUGUUACAUGCUUACUCACAUUCUUUUAAUUCUAAACCUUUGGUUAGACAGUCUGCCACUUGUUCCCUAGAAAUUACAUGACUCAACACAAUAAUACCAGCAUCUAUCUUCUCCUUGAUGAAAAAAGGAUCAAUCUCAAC